UGGGGAAUUUUGGACAAUGGGCGAAAGCCUGAUCCAGCAAUGCCGCGUGUGUGAAGAAGGCCUUCGGGUUGUAAAGCACUUUUGUCCGGAAAGAAAUCCUUGGCUCUAAUACAGUCGGGGGAUGACGGUACCGGAAGAAUAAGCACCGGCUAACUACGUGCCAGCAGCCGCGGUAAUACGUAGGGUGCAAGCGUUAAUCGGAAUUACUGGGCGUAAAGCGUGCGCAGGCGGUUUGCUAAGACCGAUGUGAAAUCCCCGGGCUCAACCUGGGAACUGCAUUGGUGACUGGCAGGCUAGAGUAUGGCAGAGGGGGGUAGAAUUCCACGUGUAGCAGUGAAAUGCGUAGAGAUGUGGAGGAAUACCGAUGGCGAAGGCAGCCCCCUGGGCCAAUACCGACGCUCAUGCACGAAAGCGUGGGGAGCAAACAGGAUUAGAUACCCUGGUAGUCCACGCCCUAAACGAUGUCAACUAGUUGUUGGGGAUUCAUUUCCUUAGUAACGUAGCUAACGCGUGAAGUUGACCGCCUGGGGAGUACGGUCGCAAGAUUAAAACUUAAAUGAAUUGACGGGGUCAUAGCUGUUUCCU
rnacentral:rRNA from 1 species